rnacentral:lncRNA from 1 species
UGUUGGGAUUACAGGCGUGAGCCACCACACCCAGCCUAUAUUUGGUUUUCUACAAUGAACAUGUAUGACUUUUGUGGGACAGCCAUUUAUCUUAACCGGUUGAAACAU